GAUGAACGCUGGCGGCGUGCCUAAUACAUGCAAGUCGAGCGAACGGACGAGAAGCUUGCUUCUCUGAUGUUAGCGGCGGACGGGUGAGUAACACGUGGAUAACCUACCUAUAAGACUGGGAUAACUUCGGGAAACCGGAGCUAAUACCGGAUAAUCUUUUGAACCGCAUGGUUCAAAAGUGAAAGACGGUCUUGCUGUCACUUAUAGCUGGAUCCGCGCUGCAUUAGCUAGUUGGUAAGGUAACGGCUUACCAAGGCAACGAUGCAUAGCCGACCUGAGAGGGUGAUAGGCCACACUGGAACUGAGACACGGUCAAGACGCCUAAGGGAGGCAGCAGUAGGGAAUCUUCGGCAAUGGGCGAAAGCAUGACGGAGCAACGCCGCGUGAGUGAUGAAGGUCUUCGGAUCGUAAAACUCUGUUAUUAGGGAAGAACAUAUGUGUAAGUAACUGUGCACAGCGUGACGGUAACUAAUCAGAAAGCCACGGCUAACUACGUG
rnacentral:rRNA from 1 species